rnacentral:rRNA from 1 species
AUUGAACGCUGGCGGCAGGCCUAACACAUGCAAGUCGAGCGGGGUUUUCGGACCUAGCGGCGGACGGGUGAGUAAUGCGUAGGAAGCUACCCGAUAGAGGGGGAUACCAGUUGGAAACGACUGUUAAUACCGCAUAAUGUCUACGGACCAAAGUGUGGGACCUUCGGGCCACAUGCUAUCGGAUGCGCCUACGUGGGAUUAGAGAGUUGGUGGGGUAAUGGCUCACCAAGGCGACGAUCCCUAGCUGGUUUGAGAGGAUGAUCAGCCGCUAUGGAACUGAGACAAGGACCAGACUCCGACGGGAGGCAGCAGUGGGGUAUAUUGGACAAUGGGGGCAAGCGUGAUCCAGUCAUGCAGCGUGUGGGAAUGAGGCCUUCGGGUUGUAAAGCACUUUCAAUAGGGAGGAAGGGUGUUGUGUUAAUAGCACAGCAUUGUGACGUUACCUACAGAAGAAGCACCGGCUAACUCUGUGCCAGCCGCCGCGGUAACAC